CCUACGGGAGGCAGCAGUGGGGGAUAUUGCACAAUGGGGGGAACCCUGAUGCAGCGACGCCGCGUGGGUGAAGAAGUAUUUCGGUAUGUAAAGCUCUGUCAGCAGGGAAGAAAAUGACGGUACCUGAAUAAGAAGCCCCGGCUAACUACGUGCCAGCAGCCGCGGUAAUACGUAGGGGGCAAGCGUUAUCCGGAUUUACUGGGUGUAAAGGGAGCGCAGACGGCGCAGCAAGUCUGGUGUGAAAGGUCGGGGCCCAACCCCGGGACUGCUUUGGUAACUGUUGAGCUGGAGUGCAGGAGGGGUAGGCGGAAUUACUAGUGUAGCGGUGAAAGGCGUAGAUAUUAGGAGGAACACCAGUGGCGAAGGCGGCCUACUGGACUGUAACUGACGUUGAGGCUCGAAAGCGUGGGGAGCAAACAGGAUUAGAUACCCUAGUAGUC
rnacentral:rRNA from 1 species